CAUCUCCGCUGCUGAGUUGAGACAUGUUAUGACUAACCUUGGUGAGAAGCUUACUGAUGAGGAAGUCGAUGAGAUGAUCAAAGAAGCUGAUGUUGAUGGAGAUGGUCAGAUCAAUUACGAAGAGUUUGUCAAAGUUAUGAUGGCAAAGAGAAGAGGGAAGAGGGUUAUGACAACGAAGCGUAGUAGCAAUUCUGCCGACUCCAAAGAAAAGAACGGUCGCCGGAAAAGCCACUGCUGUAUUCUCUGAGCUCCGACCAUUUCUUCUCGUUAUCUAUUAUUAUUAUACGCUUGUGCUUUUGUGUGUAAAAAAUAAGAGAUUUGUACCUCAUACAUCUAUAAAACGGAUUUUAAAUGUAAUCUCUAAUUUGAAUAUAUUAAAUAUUUACUACAUUUGUUA